rnacentral:rRNA from 1 species
AUUCCUACGGGAGGCAGCAGUGGGAAUAUUGCACAAUGGGCGAAAGCCUGAUGCAGCAACGCCGCGUGAGCGAUGAAGGCCUUCGGGUCGUAAAGCUCUGUCCUAUGGGAAGAUAAUGACGGUACCAUAGGAGGAAGCCCGCUGACUAACGUGCCAGCAGCCGCGGUAAUACGUAGGGGCAGGAUGUUAUCCGGAAUUACUGGGCGUAAAGGGUGCGUAGGCGGUUUAUCAAGUCAGGGGUGAAAGGCUACGGCUCAACCGUAGUGAGCCUCUGAAACUGGUGAACUUGAGUGUAGGAGAGGAAAGUGGAAUUCCCAGUGUAGCGGUGAAAUGCGUAGAUAUUGGGAGGAACACCAGUGGCGAAGGCGACUUUCUGGACUACAACUGACGCUGAGGCACGAAAGCGUGGGGAGCAAACAGGAUUAGAUACCCUGGUAGGCUCUGCU